AGACUCGAUACUACACUCUUUGAGAUUGGACUUUAGGGAAGCUUCGGUCAACCACUUGGUGUUGCACUGAAGUGGACUUAAGGAAAGGUCAAUGAUUUGAGAUCCUUCUAGAACCCGGUUACUAUUCUAAGACAGGUUGAACCAACCAAACUUCAGUGGGGAGGGUAUUUACCUAUGGAACUCACGCAAGCCUUAAAACCUAGGAAUGAUUGUUGUGUGACUUGCUUGUGCUUGUUAUUUAUCUAACAACAUGACAUCAUAACAACAUAACAUCAUAACAUCAUGGCAUUGUACUAACCAUUUCAAGGAUUUAGGGAUUUAACUCUGCUAAAAAAAAAAACAGAAAAAACAAAAACAAAAGCAAAAACAAAAGAAAAAAAAAAAAAAAAGCUCUUUUUGUUAGUUUAUGCAAAGUUAAAUCCCGAAAGUCCUUGAAAACAUUUCAUACAUUGCAUUGCAUCGCAUAACAGGUAUUCUAAAGGAUCAGUGUUCUC
rnacentral:lncRNA from 1 species